rnacentral:lncRNA from 1 species
GCUCCUAUGCUUUAUAUGAGGGUCGUCAAAUCAGAUUCACGUGCCGAUUAGAUUCAGAACCACUGUUCGAUGUCAUGAAUUAACACAAAAAAAGUCAUGGAAAUGCCUUAACUAGUCACUUCCUGUUCAGCUAAUCCCUUAAUUUCAAUGAUUAAACCACGAAAAUAAGACUAAACUACCUGAAGCCAAGGAGAAAUUGACAAUUUAGGAGUCCAACAAUUUAUUACAAUUCCAAAACAGUCCAAAUCAGGAAGAACCUAACUAAAUAGUCCUAAUUCGGUACAAUUCAAACUCAACAGAGCGAAACAACUACAAGUCAAAAGUGAUGAAGUCAAUAAAGCCAAAUCCGUAAUAGCAAGCAUGAGAAGGCAAUUGUAUUUCUAUUUCAUCAGGGAGAUUACACCAAAACAAACUUGAGUGUGUACCUGGAAUUAAACCAAAUGAAAAUGAAGGGUCAGUAGGAAGUUCCAAACAGCAGUCACAACCAGCAACAAUAGAAGUAGUUUUGACUCAAUCAACUUCUCAAAACCCAGGAAUAAACUCAGAAAUGCAACAGCAACAAAUUGAUUAAAAAACAAGCUUGUUUGUCCUCAGAUUCACUUGAAAUUGAGCUAGGAAUUUACAUAAUAAUACCUUCAGCAAUCAAAAGUACCCAGGAACAACCCGGAUGAACCCCAAAACACCUUCAAUUGCAUUAAAUCUUCAAGUACAAAAUUGACAUACAGAGAUCUAGGCUAAUUUUGAUGCUAAAUGAGCUGGAACUCGACUGUAAUUGCAAACAAAGCAAUGUAACAGUUUCUCUUUUUUUUUUUUUGGAUUUUUACUGCCUUUUUUUGUGUGUGUUUGUUUUUGGAUUUUUCUGCCAAACUAAGAUCUAAAACUGAAAUUUUAGCUUGAUUUCAAAAGCUCUUUGACGAAACAAUUUUUAUUUUUAUUUUUUGUGUUUUCUGGAGUUAAAUUUCAAAUCCUAGAUCUGAAGAUUGAAAAGGGGUAUCUGGGAGGAAUUUUGGGGCUCCAACAUUGUUCAUUAAGGCAUUGGUGAUGCCCUUUUAUAAGCAAAGAUGAGGGCAACCCUCAAUUUCUGUUUACAAAUUAGCCUCUUAUUUAUUUUCAUAUUAGUCCCUUGUUUUCUAACUUGAUUACUCAAGUAACUACCUCUAUUUUUCUGAAAUGUACACUAAAGUCCUAUUCUAGAAGGCCCUAGGGUGUUCUUCUACCUAUAGAAUGCCUAUACUACCAUUUUGUUUUGAAAUUAUUAUUUUUAACAAAACUACCCUUUUUCAUGCCUAAACUACCCCUAAAAACCCCUGAAAUUACUGACCAAUAAGACCCCCUUUUACCUAAGUUAUAAUCUAACUAAAAUUAAUUCAACUACACUACUCAGCUAUAUCCAAACUUCAAGCCUAAUUAGACUGCAAUGAAUACUAAAGAUCAAGUAAACUAAGCUUAAACUAACAAAAGAAUUAACGAAAAUCAACAGUCUCAAAGCGCAAUGGAAAUAAUAUUUGAACUGAAAAUCUAAAAGAAAAAAACAAUUUAUCAGAAAGAUAUUCAACUAAUAUCAUACUGAGCCGAUUGAAACCAAACUAACACCCAACGAUUAAACUAUCAACUAAUUAAUUAAAGCUAAAAUAGGACGAAAAUUAAAUAGAUCUAUAAUAGCAAUUAACCUAGACAUUUGCUAAAACAACACUUAAUUAACAGAUAGAAUGAGAAUCAAACCAAAAUCAAAACCAAAAAAUGAGAAACUGUCUAACUAAUUUGGUCUUCAAAGUUAAUUGAUUUCGGGAACUGAACUCUAAUUAAUGAUAUAGGUUCAUUUUGUCAAAAACAAACGUAUAACAUUAAUCAAAAUCCUCAGAAUUAUUGAAACUCUAAACAGGCGGAAAACUCGAAAACCCUAGAUGUGAAAUUGGAGACAGCCCGGUGAAAUUCGAGAGCUUUCUUUAUGAGAUUCAAGGUGAGGGCUCAUGGGGACUGUGGGGUGUGAAUUUGAGCCGAUUUGGACAAGGUUGUGUUUUGGCCGGAAAAUUCAGAUUCAAGAUUCGAGAGCCUGGGAUGGGAUUCAAGGGACAUGGAUAGGGGAUUCGGAUAGAGGAGAAGAAGAAGAGUUCAUGGUAAAAUUUUGGGACUAUUUGGAGCUCCGCCGCCGGUGGAGGCGAUUUUCGGUGGCGGUCGGCGGUGGUGUAACAAUGGUAUGAGGAAGAUGAUCAUGUUCUUUAGGGUUGGAAAGAUUUCAGACAGUUAUAUUAAAAAGGAGGAAAUGCUGUAGGCCGUU